UCUGCACACUGUUAGAGCCCGGUGCUGUUUUGUCAGUGCAGCGCGGGGUGUAGGAUGUGUGCUAAAUAGAAAGGCACAGUUUUUAACAUGCUCUUUCUGUACCACUCAGGGGGGCAGGUUAAGAUUGUGCAACAUGA
rnacentral:snoRNA from 1 species